ACAUGCAAGUCGAACGGAGAUAAAGAUUCGGUUUUAUCUUAGUGGCGCACGGGUGAGUAACACGUGAAUAACCUGACCCAAAGAGGGGGAUAACACCUGGAAACAGGUGCUAAUACCGCAUAAGACCACAAUGUCGCAUGACGAAGGGGUCAAAGAAAAUCGCUUUGGGAGGGGUUCGCGUCCCAUUAGGUAGUAGGCGGGGUAACAGCCCACCUAGCCGACGAUGGGUAGCCGAGCUGAGAGGCUGAUCGGCCACACUGGAACUGAGACACGGUCCAGACUCC
rnacentral:rRNA from 1 species